rnacentral:miRNA from 1 species
GGCUGGGCUGGGCUGGGCUGGACUGGGCUGGGGAGACAGCAUCUUGGUUCUGCAAAACACUUUGUCCUGCCUG